rnacentral:lncRNA from 10 species
UCAGGUCUCAUUUACUUCCUCUUUUUUUUUUCCUUUUCCUUUUCCUAUACCUUCCUUUGGUCCUUAUAAGUAUCCAAAUUGCCCUAAAAUAACUUCUGCACAUGCAGCAUUAGGAAGCAGUGUUUCCCAACCACUACAUUUGAAUGAUUCAUUCCUCUGAGGACCCUCAAGUACUUCAGAAGAACUAAAAAAUGAAUAUCACGUUACACCAAAGAAGAAAUGAAAGCUGCCAGUGUCUUCUGAAGUUAAACAGGCUCCUGUUCUUUGACCCAGCAAUCCAAUCCUAGGACUCCAACUAAGCCACUAUGCUGGGAGCAGAGAUGGGGAAGAAUUGCUGAGUCAUGAUAAGAGAAGGCACUAUAGGAAGAAACAGUGAACUCUUAACAGCUGGGCAAGCAAUGAGUCAGCCUGGGUGGUCACUCCAGAUGCUCCCGGACACAUCCCAAUUUCUAGGAUGCCUUGCUUGUUGUUCUUGUCAUGGUCUAAACCAGCUUACCCCACUGCCACAUUUAUCCAUCAGCCUAUGGGAAAAGGGAAAAAGGAUGUGGAAGUGAAGUGAUCUUUAAAAGCCAAGGAAAGGAAGACAGGAAAAAUGAAGAUAAAUCCCAAAAGAUCAAUAUUUACUUUUAGUCUGCAUUUAAGUGUGCAUCGUUGAGAGAAUCCACGGCAACUUUUAUUAAAGAUAGAAGUUGUACUUGCCAACACAUCAACAAUUUAUGUUUAGAAACAAGAUACUCAAUCUCAAGUUAUCUUCCCUCUUGCCAUGUUUGUGGACAUCCCCCCACUGCCCUUCAUCCUCAGAAAGGAACAGCCUCCUGUGGGUUGACUUGGUGAUAUCUGUCCAUAGAUAAUGUCUCCAGCCCCAGGCUCAUCACUCAGACAUCUGCCCUCAGGAGGACACGUUCAUCCCCAGCACCAGAGACAUGUCUGCCAAGGCUUUUGGAACUGAUUUUAUCCCCAUGCAAAAAGCUAGAUUCUAAUUCUGUCUGAUCACAAAAGGUUGAAUCAAAGCCCUACAACUGAGGUUCAUAGACCAAAACAAGAAAUACAUGGAAAAGUUGCCAAAGGAUUUUAGAAGAUCAGAGGCUGUAAUUCAUUAUAGAUGUGGAUCCUUUUGCUUUCCUCUAAGGAAAAAAAAUAUUCAAUUUUAUUAAGAAAAAAUUCCCACUAACUGUGGCCAUGUUCAAAGCACUCACAGAAAAUAUUUUGAACGCACAGGGUUUCGCUCAAGGAAGAAUAUUCAUCAUUUCAGGGUGGGGGAAAGGAGCUGGUCAUUCAUUUUCUCUCACCUUAUCCUAACAUUUAUAGUUAAAAAGGGAUGGAUUUGUCUUUGCCUAAUCUCCAUGACAAAGCAAUUCUUGCCUGACCUCUCAAAUUCUCCCCACUCCAGAGAUUGUAUGACCAGAAGGUGGGAUCAUAAAUUCCCAAGAGAUGACAAAGGUGAAAAUGGAAUCAACAAUCACUACCUAAAUUUUCAGGCUCUGAGACACCUUCCUAAACUAUAUGAAUAAGCCACAGCAAAAUGCUUAAAUCUCUCCAGCUAUUUUUUCUUUCAUUGAUAAGUUAUAUUUCUUUUUGAAGGAAAGAAAGUAUCUACCUCAGCUCUUAUUUGUUAAAACUUACAUAACAAAGACACUACAGGUGAAAACACAGCCACCAUCACUCUAUAUUAUUUUCUAAAAUGAUUUAUAACAUAACAUUCAGCAUAGAUAACAGUAAAAGUUUAAAGAGGAUCAUGAAAUACAAAAUAAAUCCAAUUUAAUAAAGUGAAAACAAAAUCAUUGUUCUUUUGUAAAUGUUGAUCACAAAGCUUAAAAAAUGUACUUGAAAUGAAAAGCUUCAGAAAUAAAACAGUUGUACCAAAUUCAGUUUAGUAUUUUGUAUUUAGUAUGUACCAAAUAAAUUUUUAUUAAAUUAUUCAUGAUCUGUGUCACCAACAACUGUGAUGAUCAAUACACAGUCAUAUGAUCUUGGGUGAAGUCUGUGCAGCUCAACAUAAUUCAGUUAAUUCAAUACUGUAAGUGCCGCUGCUAAUUUGCCCAAAUUAUACUAUCAAUUCCUCCUUAAUUAU